rnacentral:rRNA from 1 species
GACGAACGCUGGCGGCGUGCCUAAUACAUGCAAGUCGAGCGAAGUUUUUCUGGUGCUUGCACCGGAAAAACUUAGCGGCGAACGGGUGAGUAACACGUAAAGAACCUGCCUCAUAGACUGGGACAACUAUUGGAAACGAUAGCUAAUACCGGAUAAUAGCAUUAACUGCAUGGUUGAUGUUUAAAAGUUAGUUUUGCUAACACUAUGAGAUGGCUUUGCGGUGCAUUAGCUAGUUGGUGGGGUAAAGGCCUACCAAGGCGACGAUGCAUAGCCGACCUGAGAGGGUGAUCGGCCACACUGGGACUGAGACACGGCCCAGACUCCUACGGGAGGCAGCAGUAGGGAAUCUUCCGCAAUGGGCGAAAGCCUGACGGAGCAACGCCGCGUGAGUGAAGAAGGAUUUCGGUUCGUAAAGCUCUGUUGUUAGGGAAGAAUGAUUGUGUAGUAACUAUACACAGUAGAGACGGUACCUAACCAGAAAGCCACGGCUAACUACGUG